GAGAAAUUAAGCAGGAAGGAGAAGAAAAUGCUUAUGUCAUGCCUUGAUCUUUGCAAUAAUUAUAAGGAAUGAUAAUUGAGCGGAUUGGAGACGGGAAUCACUUCCCCGUUCUUACCCUACAAGAGUUUAAAAUUGAAACAAGGAUUUUGCUGUUAGAAAGUGGAGCGGAACGAAACGAGUUUAUUAAAAAAUAAAUUUCAAG
rnacentral:misc_RNA from 1 species